rnacentral:misc_RNA from 1 species
CUGCCCUCAAGCACGGCUUGUGUGUUGGGCCCCGCCCCCCGGUCUCGGGGGGCGGGCCCCGAAAGGCAGCGGCGGCACCGCGUCCGGUCCUCGAGCGUAUGGGGCUUCGUCACCCGCUCUGUAGGCCCGGCCGGCGCCCGCCGGCGACCCCAAUCAAUCUAUCCAGG